rnacentral:rRNA from 1 species
UUGAACGCUGGCGGCAUGCUUUACACAUGCAAGUCGAACGGCAGCGGGGGCUUCGGCCUGCCGGCGAGUGGCGAACGGGUGAGUAAUGCAUCGGAACGUGCCCAGUCAUGGGGGAUAACUACGCGAAAGCGUAGCUAAUACCGCAUACGCCCUGAGGGGGAAAGCGGGGGAUCGCAAGACCUCGCGUUAUUGGAGUGGCCUAGGCCUGAUUAGCUAGUUGGUGAGGUAAAGGCUCACCAAGGCGACGAUCAGUAGCUGGUCUGAGAGGAUGAUCAGCCACACUGGAACUGAGACACGGUCCAGACUCCUACGGGAGGCAGCAGGGGGGAAUUUUGGACAAUGGGGGAAACCCUGAUCCAGCCAUUCCGCGUGAGGGAAGAAGGCCUUCGGGGUGUAAAGCUCUUUCAGGAGGGAAGAAACGGUUGCGGCUAAUACCCGCGACUAAUGACGGUACCUUCAGAAGAAGCACCGGCUAACUACGU